GAAAGAAACUGUUAAUUUUGAUCAGUUGGUGAAAAGCCCUGCUGUUGCAGUCAGUCAUUUCUAUGGAGUUCAACUUUUCAAGUUCAUAAGCAAAAUGGACUAUUCAUCUUCAACAGGAAGAAAGUGGAACAAACCUGCCUUUUUAAUCACUAUAGACUUCCAAGGCACUCCAGCAUAAAUUCUCAGAUCUUCUGUCAUUAUUCACACCCAGGAUACUUUACUAAAGACCGAGAAAGUUAAACUAUUUUCCAGCAAAGGCCUGGCACAAUCCCACAAUGGCUCCCAAAUGACCAUGACCAUGAAGGCUUGAUAGUCUCUUAUUGCCCUGUAAUUGGUUGUUCUAAUCAGCAGUCCACAAGGUCGGCCUCACCCUUCUUUGGUUAGCCAACGCAUGGAUUUUGUCAAGUUCAGCUGCUUUCAUGGUCCCAUUGACCAGAGGCUUUCAUAAAAGGAGAAAUGUCUUCUGGAAUAUCUGACCAAUAUCACUUAGGAAAUGCAGAUCAGUUAAAUAUUCAUCCAUGUAAACAUGGAAUAUAUUUACUACACAAUAUUUUCAA